rnacentral:rRNA from 1 species
AUUGAACGCUGGCGGCAGGCCUAACACAUGCAAGUCGAGCGGAUGAAGUUAGCUUGCUCCUGGAUUCAGCGGCGGACGGGUGAGUAAUGCCUAGGAAUCUGCCUGGUAGUGGGGGAUAACGUCCGGAAACGGGCGCUAAUACCUCAUACGUCCUGAGGGAGAAAGUGGUGUAUCUUCUGACCUCACUCUAUCAGAUGAGCCUAGGUCGGAUUAGCUAGUUGGUGGGGUAAAGGCCUACCAAGGCGACGAUCCGUAACUGGUCUGAGAGGAUGAUCAGUAACACUGGAACUGAGAAACGGUCAAGACUCCUACGGGAGGCAGCAGUGGGGAAUAUUCGAAAAUGGGCGAAAGCCUGAUCCAGACAUGCCGGGUGUGUGAAGAAGGUCUUCGGAUUGUAAAGCACUUUAAGUUGGGAGGAAGGGCAGUAAGUUAAUAACUUGCUGUUUUGACGUUACCAAAAGAAUAAGCAACGGCUAACUUCGUG